UACGAAGGGGGCUAGCGUUGUUCGGAAUUACUGGGCGUAAAGCGCACGUAGGCGGGCGAUUAAGUCAGGGGGUGAAAUCCCGGAGCUCAACUCCGGAACUGCCUUUGAUACUGGUCGUCUAGAGAUCGGAAGAGGUGAGUGGAAUUCCCAGUGUAGAGGUGAAAAUUCGUAGAUAUUGGGAAGAACACCAGUGGCGAAGGCGGCUCACUGGUCCGAUACUGACGCUGAGGUGCGAAAGCGUGGGGAGCAAACAGG
rnacentral:rRNA from 1 species